UAAGUUGAAGCCCGCUGGCUUGGGUGUUUAAUUGUUAAUUAAGAGUGUUGCGGGAUCGAGGCCCGUCAGCUU
rnacentral:tRNA from 1 species